rnacentral:tRNA from 1 species
GGGAGUGUGGCGGAAUGGCAGACGCAGCGGACUUAAAAUCCGCCGCCGGAAGGCGUGAGGGUUCGAAUCCCUCCACUCCUACCA